CGAGCAGGUCACCUUGUCGCUGCCUUUCCAAUUUUUUUGGAAAGGGAGAGGAAAGUCUGGACACCAUAGUGCGGCAUAGCGGGUAACACCCGUCGCUCGCCAUAGGCGAACAGGACAAGUGCAACAGAAAGAAUGUACAGGUAAUGCUGUAGUGAAAUCAGGUAAACUCUAUGCGGUGAAACGCCAUGUAUAUCAGUGUUUGAGGGCUGCACGCCCGAGCUGAAGGGUAGGCGGAUGGAGUUCGACAGUAAUGUCGAAACUAGAUAAAUGACAAGGAAGUUUUCUUUGGGAAGCUUUACAGAAUCCGGCUUAUGGCCUGCUUUUUUA
rnacentral:RNase_P_RNA from 1 species